AGUAUGUUAAUAGUCAUAUUCAUUUGACGUUUAGCUUGCAGAAGAAGCACCGGCUAACUCCGUGCCAGCAGCCGCGGUAAUACGGGAGGGUGCGAGCGUUAAUCGGUAAUUACUGGGCGUAAAGCGCAUGCAGGUGGUUGUUAAGUCAGAUGUGAAAGCCCGGGGCUCAACCUCGGAAUUGCAUUUGAAACUGGCAAACUAGAGUACUGUAGAGGGGGUAGAAUUUCAGGUGUAGCGGUGAAAUGCGUAGAGAUCUGAAGGAAUACCGGUGGCGAAGGCGGCCCCCUCGGACAGAUACUGACACUCAGAUGCGAAAGCGUGGGGAGCAAACAGGAUUAGAUACCCUGGUAG
rnacentral:rRNA from 1 species